rnacentral:tRNA from 5 species
CUAAAAUCCGUUGGCUUUUUAGACCGUGAGGGUUCAAGUCCCUCUACCCCCA